AGAUCAUGUACAUUAUGUAAUCUAAACUGGUUUAAGUAUCUUUAUCCUAAUCCAUGGGUGUCCGACAACCAUUGCCUUUGUCCACAUUGAACAAAUUCUCUUGGGGCAUAUAUAGAACAAUUAAAUAUAGAUAUCAUAUUAUAUCUUCACGAGAAAAACAUUCGGCAUGCUUUCGUGUGUUCUAUAAAACGACGUAGUGUGUCAGUCGUGCCAACCGCACAAUUGCGGCAACGCCGGUUUUCGGUGUCUUUUUAUUCACUAGAUUACAUUUUUGAAGCUACCAUAGGAAAAGUUUACGAUGUUCGUUUCGCGUUUAUGCCGUUUCGUUUGUUUUCCUUGGCCCGCGUAUUAGACUUCCCUGUUUUAAUUAUUUAAAUAAAUUUUUCGUAACGAUAUAUUUACUUGCAUCCGAUGCCCACUCGUGUCACAGUUAUAAUUAUAAAGCGCUAACGAAUUAUUCCAUAAAAUGUUUCUUUAACGCGAUUUCGACGGGAAGAUAGGUAGUUAGAGUAUUAUACGCGUAAAAAUUUUAUUAUUCGAUAGGUAUUUCUUUUUUCCUCCCUUCUCCCAGCCCAUUUAUACAAAAGAGUGUAAUUUCUUCUUAUAUUCUAUACUAAAAUAUCAUUGAUUCAUUUAUUGAGUUCUGCACUCUUCGCGGUCGGCAUUUUGAGACCAGACGCAAACAUGCAUGCUAGUGUGGAAGACUAAACCAUGUUGACAUUGAAGCCUUUGCGGAAUUCCGAAGACGCAUCGAUAGUACUAUAAAAAAGAAAAAGAAAAAAAAUAUGAAGUAUAUAUGAUAGAAGUAAAUGGGCGGUAAUGGUGGUGAUGUAGGAAGAGAAUGAAGAAGAUGGUCAAACUUGAGAUGCUGUCUUGAGGAAGAUCGUCUGGGUUUUUUCUUUUCUUUUCUUGUUUUUUUCUUUGUUUUGUUUUUUUUUUUCUUUUUUUCUUUAAUUUAUAAACGUUCACAUUCAAUGGGAAAUAAACUUUUGUACGUCAUUAAGUUGUCUUUUUUAAUGACGCUGAAGUUACGAUACAUACCAUAGCACAAUUUUUCGAAGGAAUGUAUUCUUCGCUUUUGCAAACAACAUUUUCAUUAUCAUCGACCGGUGGUUUAGAAGAGGAGCCUGGAUUUAUUGGCACAGUUGGGCGAGUUGUUUCUUCAGUGUCCCUCGUGCUGUAUCCUACCGUGGAACUCGUCGUGCUUGGUGGUCUUGCCCAAUCAGGCUAAGCAGGAAAAUAAAACGCGAUAUUAAUCAUUUAAUCUUCUAUAAAUUUAAAAUCAUAUUCGCUUACGGUAGGCGUAGAGUGAUGUUCUUUCUUAGGGACCUUAUAUCCCUUCAUACCAUCGUGAAUUACUUUCAUGAGAGGAUUCUUUUCUCCGCAGAGACCGGUGAAAUCAUCCAUAUCUAUUGCCCAAACCAUAGCACCGGCAUAGCUUUUUUCCCUAAUAAAGUCCAUCUUUAUCUUAACACUGUCGGCAUCCUCAUAACCAACCCACUGUGUUUCUACACAAAGAAAGAAUUUGUAGUCGUUCGUCUUCCACGAAACUUGCUUGUCCCAUCAUGAAUUUGUAUCUUUAUUUAAAAAAUAUAUUUACCCUUGUAAGCGUAAGGUACCUUUCCAAUGGAGUCGUAUUUCUUUGUCCAUCCUGAUUUAGGAUUAUUUACUUCUGUGCAAAUCUAAAUAAUGGAGAUCAUGUUAAGUUCGCCUUAACUUAUAUCUUACUAUAUGAAAGAAAGAAAAUUGUUGGCAUAUAGGUGUACUUGCGUAAAUUAUGAAAAAUUACCUCGUAAUAUGCUAAGAAUCCUCUAGCCUGUGUGUACGGUCCAGGAUCACCACCACCUGCUUCUUUGUUUAUGUAGGUUCCUGGAUUGUAAUUCGUGUUGCCACGCGAAAGUGUGAAUGUACGACCGUACAAAGGCACACCUACGACCAAUUUGUUCGCUGGGCAUCCUUUGUCCUCCCAAAGCAAAAGACCGUCGUGCUGUAUAGAUAAAAGGCAAUCGUGAUCGGAGAAUAAUUGGCUUUUCUCUUCAUGCGCUAUAUUAUGUAUGAACAAUCAUCGUACAUAGAAACGUAUCAACGUGUAGUAUCAACCUACCACAUUGAGUUUUUCAUAGGCAUAACUGUCGUGCGGUCUCUUGUAAAGGGGACUAUGGACAUCAGCAAAUCCAGCCCAGUUUCCACGAAGAUCGUAAGACAUAACGUGUAUCGCGUCGAGGUACCUGAAUACGAGGAUAACAAUGUGAAUGUAUUUAUUAGGGAAGGAAACUAAAGCGAGGAAUAAUAUACUCACUUGCAAAAUUCUGGAACGUGAUAACCUUCGUCGAGACGGAACUUGGCCAUAGGUACGGCCAUUGUGAUCUCCCAUCCUUUUCCUUCUUUAUCGAAAGCACGUUUAAGUUCCUCAACGAAGUAGAAGAAAUUGUCCUUAUCGGAGAAUUUGCCACCCCUGUCCGUAGCACUAGGGUAUUCCCAGUCGAGAUCGAAACCGUCGAACUCGUAUUUGUACAUGAAAUCUUCAAUAGGAACGAAUGAUUUCGGAAGAUGUCAUAAAAUAACUAUAUACGGUGUAAUAGUUGUAUAGCAUGGCAGAUUUUUAAUGCUAGAUACCAUGAUUACGUAUUAAAGAAGAGAUCUAAGAGAGAACAUACCAACGACGCUCUUUAUGAAGGUAUCUCUGCGUUGUUUCACCGUAACGAGGUUGCUAUAUUUCUUGCCACCUUCACCCCAACCGCCGAGCGCGACUUCAGUUUUCAAAUGAGGAUAUUUCUGUCUGAGUUGGGUGAAAUUUCUGAAGCCACCCUUCUGAACGUCGAGCUUCUCGUCCAAGACAAGUACCUCCCAGGUAACAUUGCUCACACCAAUGAAGGAGUAGAUCACGUGUGUGCAUAAUUCCCCUGGGAUGUCGUCGAUGCCGUAACUUCCAACGCCAGGUCGAUAUAUCGCCCAGUUGCUGAAGUAACAAACAACUCUGGCGUUCGUAUCUGAUUCAGAGAAAUAUCAAGAUUUUUAUAGAUUGGCACAUAUCGAACGCGAUCUCGGUCUCUUCGAUAUUGAAUAUUACAUUUUAAAUCUUAUCUAGAAUGCGUCAUAUGCGAGUAAAUGCUUACCCGCAGAUGCGUAGACCAAGCAGACUGUAAAAACGGAAAGGGAAAAUAAGAGUUUCAUCGUCGAGGGCGUCAUUCUCAAAGCUAGAAAAAAA